GAUGAACGCUCGUUGCGUGCCUAAUACAUGCAAGUCGAGCGAACGGACGAGAAGCUUGCUUCUCUGAUGUUAGCGGCGGACGGGUGAGUAACACGUGGAUAACCUACCUAUAAGACUGGGAUAACUUCGGGAAACCGGAGCUAAUACCGGAUAAUAUUUUGAACCGCAUGGUUCAAAAGUGAAAGACGGUCUUGCUGUCACUUAUAGAUGGAUCCGCGCUGCAUUAGCUAGUUGGUAAGGUAACGGCUUACCAAGGCAACGAUGCAUAGCCGACCUGAGAGGGUGAUCGGCCACACUGGAACUGAGACACGGUCCAGACUCCUACGGGAGGCAGCAGUAGGGAAUCUUCCGCAAUGGGCGAAAGCCUGACGGAGCAACGCCGCGUGAGUGAUGAAGGUCUUCGGAUCGUAAAACUCUGUUAUUAGGGAAGAACAUAUGUGUAAGUAACUGUGCACAUCUUGACGGUACCUAAUCAGAAAGCCACGGCUAACUACGUGCCAGCAGCCGCGGUAAUACGUAGGUGGCAAGCGUUAUCCGGAAUUAUUGGGCGUAAAGCGCGCGUAGGCGGUUUUUUAAGUCUGAUGUGAAAGCCCACGGCUCCACCGUGGAGGGUCAUUGGAAACUGGAAAACUUGAGUGCAGAAGAGGAAAGUGGAAUUCCAUGUGUAGCGGUGAAAUGCUCAGAGAUAUGGAGGAACACCAGUGGCGAAGGCGACUUUCUGGUCUGUAACUGACGCUGAUGUGCGAAAGCGUGGGGAUCAAACAGGAUUAGAUACCCUGGUAGUCCACGCCGUAAACGAUGAGUGCUAAGUGUUAGGGGGUUUCCGCCCCUUAGUGCUGCAGCUAACGCAUUAAGCACUCCGCCUGGGGAGUACGACCGCAAGGUUGAAACUCAAAGGAAUUGACGGGGACCCGCACAAGCGGUGGAGCAUGUGGUUUAAUUCGAAGCAACGCGAAGAACCUUACCAAAUCUUGACAUCCUUUGACAACUCUAGAGAUAGAGCCUUCCCCUUCGGGGGACAAAGUGACAGGUGGUGCAUGGUUGUCGUCAGCUCGUGUCGUGAGAUGUUGGGUUAAGUCCCGCAACGAGCGCAACCCUUAAGCUUAGUUGCCAUCAUUAAGUUGGGCACUCUAAGUUGACUGCCGGUGACAAACCGGAGGAAGGUGGGGAUGACGUCAAAUCAUCAUGCCCCUUAUGAUUUGGGCUACACACGUGCUACAAUGGACAAUACAAAGGGCAGCGAAACCGCGAGGUCAAGCAAAUCCCAUAAAGUUGUUCUCAGUUCGGAUUGUAGUCUGCAACUCGACUACAUGAAGCUGGAAUCGCUAGUAAUCGUAGAUCAGCAUGCUACGGUGAAUACGUUCCCGGGUCU
rnacentral:rRNA from 1 species